rnacentral:pre_miRNA from 1 species
AGGAGCAACUGCCCUAGUGGCGGGGCCAGCUCUGGAAACCUGGAUUCAGCCCCCACAGGAACUCCGGAGCUCUCCGUCUGCAGGGCCUGGAGGCUCCGGGGCGGG